GGAAAAGUGUGAAAAUUCAAGUAAUCAAGCAAUCAAAGGUGAUGAGCAUUCUGGCAAAAGUAAAGAGAUAGUACCCGAUGAUCAAGAAUCGAAGUACUUGGAAUUCGACUCCCGAAAUAGCUCGGAGAAUUCCAUAGUUAGCUGAUUUUGACAAGGACC